GAUGAACGCUGGCGGCGUGCCUAAUACAUGCAAGUCGAGCGAACAGACGAGGAGCUUGCUCCUCUGACGUUAGCGGCGGACGGGUGAGUAACACGUGGAUAACCUACCUAUAAGACUGGGAUAACUUCGGGAAACCGGAGCUAAUACCGGAUAAUAUAUUGAACCGCAUGGUUCAAUAGUGAAAGACGGUUUUGCUGUCACUUAUAGAUGGAUCGGCGCCGCAUUAGCUAGUUGGUACGGUAACGGCUUACCAAGGCAACGAUGCGUAGCCGACCUGAGAGGGUGAUCGGCCACACUGGAACUGAGACAGGGUCCAGACGCCUACGGGAGGCAGCAGUAGGGAAUCUUCCGCAAUGGGCGAAAGCCUGACGGAGCAACGCCGAGUGAGUGAUGAAGGUCUUCGGAUCGUAAAACUCUGCUAUUAGGGAAGAACAAAUGUGUAAGUAACUAUGCACGUCUUGACGGUACCUAAUCAGAAAGCCACGGCUAACUACGUG
rnacentral:rRNA from 1 species